rnacentral:rRNA from 1 species
CUGAUGCAGCGACGCCGCGUGAGGGAUGACGGCCUUCGGGUUGUAAACCUCUUUCAGCAGGGACGAAGCAAGAGGUGAAAAGUACCUGCAGAAGAAGCACCGGCCAACUACGUGCCAGCAGCCGCGGUAAUACGUAGGGUGCAAGCGUUGUCCGGAAUUACUGGGCGUAAAGAGCUCGUAGGCGGUUUGUCGCGUCGUCUGUGAAAACUCGAGGCUCAACCUCGAGCUUGCAGGCGAUACGGGCAGACUUGAGUACUGCAGGGGAGACUGGAAUUCCUGGUGUAGCGGUGAAAUGCGCAGAUAUCAGGAGGAACACCGGUGGCGAAGGCGGGUCUCUGGGCAGUAACUGACGCUGCGGAGCGAAAGCGUGGGU